GCAAAUUAUUGGACUCACCUGGACUCAAUCACCUGUUUAUUACCUCCCCUAUAUUUAAUGCAGCAGCCAUCAAAUGAAGCAUCGGGGAGUGCUGGCGGUUCGGGUGGUGGUGAAGUCGGGUCCGGGGUUUGCCGCCGAUGGAAGCGGGGAUGCCUUAGCUGGAUGAUCGGGCUUCCAUGCCCUAGCUGGCUCGAGAAGUUUCUUUGCCCCAGUUGGCUCAGAAGGCGCCCAUCCCGGGUCUCAGCAGGAUCGUCAGAUUUUUACGCCCAGCCGGCUCGCCAGGCUGCUACGCCUCAGCCGAAUCAUCAGGCUCCUCUGCCUCAGCCAGCUCGCCAGGCUCCCACGCCACUGCCAGUUCGUCAAGAUUUUACGCCCAGCCGGCUUGUCCAGCGCCCGUGCCUCAGCCAGCCCAUUGGGCUCGCCCGGGUGGGACCCCAGGUGGCACCCCUAGAGGGGGGGUACUGUCAUGCCUGCUCCUGCUCUUUCCCCUCGUGCUCGAGGGCGCCAGGCUGCCCUGCAAUUCCCUCGUCACGUGCAUCAGCAAAUUAUUGGACUCACCUGGACUCAAUCACCUGUUUAUUACCUCCCCAAUAUUUGUCAGUUCCCCAGCUCUGCUCUCCGCUGCUGCAUUGAUUGUCUUACGUCUGUGUUUUACCCGGUUCUGACACUGUUCCAGUUCUGUUUUCAUGUCUGUUCCGACUAAAUGUUGACUCCCCGUACCUGCUUCUCUUCUCCAGCGUCAUUCCUUACACUUAAUAAGUUACAGAAAAAGUUGCAUAAUUCUGGAUUGUUAACAAAGCAGACACUGAAUAUCCCUUUCAGCAUGGUGAAGAUAUUAAAUGCACUUUGGAUGGUGAAUCAAUACACACAGUUACUACAAAUAUAACAGCCAUCCUUCCUAAUUCAGUUUCAAUAGAGGAAGGAAAUUGCUCAAGGAUUUCACCAUGAGGCCAAUGAUGGCUUUGGAAUAGUUAUUGAGUUUAAUAGUAACUUAAUAUGGAUCAACAACCUGGUUAAUCCACAAUGUUAACCUAAUUGACAGAGUGAAAAGAAGGAA
ensembl:lncRNA